rnacentral:tmRNA from 1 species
GGGGAUGAAAUAGGUCUCGACAGGUGUUGGAAGGUCUGCAAUCAGCCGAGGGUCGGUUGGCCUCGUAAAAAAACCGAAAUUAAAAUAUUCGCAAACGACGAACAUUUCACUGCAAUCGCUGCUUAAUAACCAGUAGGUUGCCUCAUGCGCAACACCAGCCCUAAUCGGUGUUGCAUAUGCAUGGGUCAUUAUUAGAUUAGGGAAGAGCGCAAGAAAUACAGCCGAUAUUGCGUAGUAACCCGUAUGGGAUGUGCUGAAGACAUUUAGGUGAUUGUCUCUCUCAGCCUAAAUUGUUAAUGAUAAGAGAAGAUAAAGCUGUAAGUAUUUGCUUUCUGGAAUGCAUUUGGACGGCGGUUCGAAUCCGCCCAUCUCCACCA